GCCUGCUCAGCGGGGCGCCCCGGGAACGGCGCGCUUUGAACGGGGCGAAGCGGCACGGAAGCUGGAGAGCCCUGUGAGCAGCAGGCAUUGAGGAGUUUCAAGUGAUGGUUACUGUUCAAAUCAGACUCCCUGUUCUGUUUCACCCAGGAACAUGUUCUCACAGCAGGCCUCGCUUGAGGACAGAGAGACACACGAUGUUGAGAAAGCAUAAAGAAUAUAUUUCUCCAUCUCCUCUGGAUACCCACCAGUUUUCGACAGACUCAUAGAAAUCAAACAUCUUCGAGGCUUCUGCGUUUCUGGCAAUUACACAGAAUAGUCAUGGUUGGAAAGGACCUCUGAGAUCACCGAGUCCAACCAUAAAACAACGAAAACAACAACAAAAACACACCACAAAACUCCACGAACCACACCCCAAAAAACCCCACAACAUACAACCUGCAAUCUCGGCCACUCAAGCACGCCCUGAAGUUUCUCAUCUACACGUUUCUUGAACACCUCCAGGGAUGGUGAAUCCACUGCCUCCCUGGGCAGCCUGUUCCAGUGCCUGUCCACUCUUUCAGUAUAGAAAUUCUUCCUAAUAUCCAGUCUGAACCUGCCCUGGUGCAACUUCAGGCCAUUUCCUCUUGUCCUGUCAUUAUUCACUUGAGAGAAGAGGCCCACACCCACCUCCCUACAACCUCCUUUCAGGUAGCUGUAGAGAGCAAUGAGGUCUUCCCUCAGUCUCCUCCAAACUAAACAUCCCCAGUUCCCUCAGCCUUGUAUGACUUGUUCUCUAGACCCUUCACCAGCUUGGUAGCUCUUGUGGCUGAAACUAGUAACAGGUUCAAAAGAUUUGGAAGCACAGCAGAUGGGCAAAACAAUUACAUUAGCCUCCUAUCCUGAAUAAAUUUGCACCAAAACAUGCCUUUGUCAUAUUCACAUGUAAACCCUCCACUGACUGCUUUGCCUUUCUAGCUCUGUCUUGGCUUUUGUAGUGAUGCUUCAACAAUUUAUGUGAUCUGAAGCAAUACCUCCUUUUGUCUUGAGCUUUUCUUGAGCUAAAGGUAUUGUGUGGCAGUAGGUCAAACACUGAGGCACUCUAGAAUCAGGUGAAGUAAGUACAUUUUUGCUCUUGCUCUAUAAUAGAGUGUAAUAGAUGAUCUUAGAGGCUUUGCCUUGGAUUUGUCUAGAAUAAAUGCUGGACGUGCUCCACCAUGUUCUGUGAUCGUGUCACAGAAGGUGUCUCCCUGGGGAUGUCACUGAUGUUUUCAUUAGUGCUUGUGGCUGUAGUACCACAAAACAGAAAAGCCAAUCAUGUCUCGGCUGUUCCUCACUGCUGUUGGCAAGUCGUGCAGAAUGAGCUGUAACUUUGAAAAUGCUGCCUCAGCGUGGCCUUUUUGGUGCCCUACAAGCUGAAGUUCACAAAUUUAUCAUGACCUACAUAAUUGACCUAUAUUAUGUGUCUAUUUGUUAAAUAGGUUGCACUAAUUAGAAACAUGAAUGGGGAUGGCUUAGCAGUGAUUUAUUUAUUCUGAGGUGUGUGCCUGCUGUCUGCAGUGAUGUAUGGGAGGAUAAUUUCCAGAUUUUCCCCCUCUGCCCCCUCAAUAUUUGACCUGUGCAUUGAUUUAUUGCAAUAAAAGGUUCUACUUU